AAAAGCAGUUUCAGGUUAGUCCGCAUAAUUUAGUUACAAGUGUUAUUUGGUUGACUGUCGUUGUUACUUAUCCGAUCUGAAUCUAAAGGUUCCAUGUUUCUGACAAAACAAUGGCUGAUUUGCUAGCUGUAGAGCGCAAGCUAAAUGAUACAGGCUCUGCUGUGAAAACCAACGGGUCUCUUCUUUUACAAGCUUUUGCUACAGUUGAAUUACUCAAUAUGUGUGUGUGUUUUAUAUCAUUUGGUGAUCAAGUUUUAAUGUAUCUUGAUGAAAUGUAGACCUUUGUAACAUAUUUGCACCUUUGGAGUAACAUAUGAUGUCCUUUAUCAGUAUGGCUGAUCCUUCGCCCUUAUUUCCUCUACUUGUUGAUAUGUGUCUGCUGGAACAAGCUGGUUCAAUGGUGCCUUCAGCAAAGUCGCCGAGGCUGGUCAUGUUGCCGGCUCAAGAACAACAGAAAAGUUCCAGAUAGUUGUGUCAAAUAUAUCAGCCAAAGGACCUGCCGUCGUUGCUUGAGCUUGUUGAGUUUGUUCUGGGAGCUCCUCUUCCUGGG